rnacentral:piRNA from 1 species
AAAAGAUGUGAGUUCUUUGUGUGC